rnacentral:rRNA from 1 species
AACCUGCCCCUGACUCUGGGAUAAGCGCUGGAAACGGCGUCUAAUACUGGAUAUGCACCAUACAGGCAUCUGUUGUGGUGGGAAAGAUUUUUUGGUUGGGGAUGGGCUCGCGGCCUAUCGUUGGUGAGGUAGUGGCUCACCAAGGCGUCGACGGGUAGCCGGCCUGAGAGGGUGACCGGCCACACUGGGACUGAGACACGGCCCAGACUCCUACGGGAGGCAGCAGUGGGGAAUAUUGCACAAUGGGCGCAAGCCUGAUGCAGCAACGCCGCGUGAGGGAUGACGGCCUUCGGGUUGUAAACCUCUUUUAGCAAGGAAGAAGCCUUUGGGUGACGGUACUUGCAGAAAAAGCGCCGGCUAACUACGUGCCAGCAGCCGCGGUAAUACGUAGGGCGCAAGCGUUAUCCGGAAUUAUUGGGCGUAAAGAGCUCGUAGGCGGUUUGUCGCGUCUGCUGUGAAAACUGGAGGCUCAACCUCCAGCCUGCAGUGGGUACGGGCAGACUAGAGUGCGGUAGGGGAGAUUGGCUGGUGUAGCGGUGGAAUGCGCAGAUAUCAGGAGGAACACCGAUGGCGAAGGCAGAUCUCUGGGCCGUUACUGACGCUGAGGAGCGAAAGGGUGGGGAGCAACAGGCUUAGAUACCCUGGUAGUCCACCCCGUAAACGUUGGGAACUAGUUGUGGGGGCCUUUCCACGGUCUCCGUGACGCAGCUAACGCAUUCCCCGCCUGGGGAGUACGGCCGCAAGGCUAAAACUCAAAGGAAUUGACGGGGACCCGCACAAGCGGCGGAGCAUGCGGAUUGAUGCAACGCGAAGAACCUUACCAAGGCUUGACAUAUUCGAGAACGCCGUAGAGAUACGGAACUCUUUGGACACUCGUUUACAGUGUGCAUGAUGUCGUCAGCUCGUGUCGUGAGAUGUGGUAAGUCCGCACGAGCGCACCCUCGUCUCUGUGCCAGCACGGUAUGUGGUACUCAGGGAUACUGCGGGUCCACUCGAGA